UACGUAGGUGACCAGCGUUGUCCGGAUUUACUGGGCGUAAAGAGCGCGCAGGCGGUCGUUCAAGUCGAGUGUGAAAGCCCCCGGCUCAACUGGGGAGGGUCACUCGAUACUGAUCGACUUGAAGGCAGGAGAGGGAAGCGGAAUUCCCGGUGUAGUGGUGAAAUGCGUAGAUAUCGGGGAGGAACACCAGUGGCGAAGGCGGCUUCCUGGCCUGUUCUUGACGCUGAGGCGGCGAAA
rnacentral:rRNA from 1 species